GAUGAACGCUGGCGGCGUGCCUAAUACAUGCAAGUCGAGCGAACGGACGAGAAGCUUGCUUCUCUGAUGUUAGCGGCGGACGGGUGAGUAACACGUGGAUAACCUACCUAUAAGACUGGGAUAACUUCGGGAAACCGGAGCUAAUACCAGAUAAUAUUUUGAACCGCAUGGUUCAAAAGUGAAAGACGGUCUUGCUGUCACUUAUAGAUGGAUCCGCGCUGCAUUAGCUAGUUGGUAAGGUAACGGCUUACCAAGGCAACGAUGCAUAGCCGACCUGAGAGGGUGAUCGGCCACACUGGAACUGAGACACGAUCCAGACUCCUACGGGAGGCAGCAGUAGGGAAUCUUCCGCAAUGGGCGAAAGCCUGACGGAGCAACGCCGCGUGAGUGAUGAAGGUCUUCGGAUCGUAAAACUCUGUUAUUAGGGAAGAACAUAUGUGUAAGUAACUGUGCACAUCUUGACGGUACCUAAUCAGAAAGCCACGGCUAACUACGUG
rnacentral:rRNA from 1 species